rnacentral:lncRNA from 1 species
AUGCUUCUGAAUCUCCUAUGGAUCAUUGAGUUGGCUCUGGGUGGAGAAACCGUCAAAGAGAGCUUGAGAGGGAGAACCGGAGAGGAGCUACACUGCUUGAUUAUGCCCUUUUCACCCUAUAUAAGGACAGUCCUCAAGAUGAACAAAUACCUUCUCCUGGGCUUCUCUGUUCUACUCUUCUGUGCAACUGCUCAAUCUCUUGUGUGCAGAGUUUGCAAAUAUAAACUUGGUACUCUCUGUUUCAAGUCGGAUGAGCCCUGCAGGGCCAAAGAAGGCCAGCUUUGUGAGACAACUGAGGUGUAUUCGGAUAGGGUAUUGCUCUACAAAACACAUGGCUGUGGCAAAUACGCAGAGCUCUGCAACAAGACAGAGGAGCGGGAAAACGCCUUCAAGAUGGCCUACAAGCGCACCUGCUGCGAUGCUGACUUGUGCAAUGUUUGA